GUUGCUUUACAGAGUUUGAUCGACCAUACUAUUCAACGUAUUCUCGAGUAUUUGAGUUACGAUACCAAAACAAGCAUCGAAAAACUGAGUCUAAUUGUUACGUGGGGUUGUGAUGGAAGCUCAAAUCACAGCAGCGCACAAAAACGUUCCAAUUUGAUUUUGGUUCCUAUAGCACCACACCCACAAUCUAAUCGACGUAAAUAACAUCGACCUAACAUGGAACAACAUUCCCGUCUUGCCUCCCCUUGUCUAUCGUUCGUUGAUCGAAAAUACGGAAUGAUUAGCGAAACGAAUCAGCAUCACUGGUAGUUGCUUUUUCUUCAACGGUAAACUGUCAUCUUAUACAAAACAAAUGGAACAUACAACUGAUAGUCUUUGGCAAAUUCAUCUAUCUAUUACAUAUCGUUGCAAGCUGAAGAGAAUCCGCUGCAAGUCAAUUCCAGCCUGCGAACACUAUUCGAAAAAUUGAUUCCCCUUCAGCGUCAGCGCCAGAAGAAAAUACGAAAGGUGAAUUUUGGAUUGAUAUUUUUCGGAGAAGGAGCUUGCAAGAAGUUGAUUGGAGACCACAGUUUCGGACUCAACAUGUUUCUCGGCCGUUAGCGAAGCCCGUAGACCAUGACAAACAAGUUGGCAAACACAUGAACUCGUGUGUUACAAUCGGUUCGAAAACAUACCGCCAUCUAGCUAUUCGGUGAAACCGGCUGAGAUUCCUGAUUAUUAUAAUUAUAUCAAAUACCCGAUGGAUUUAAAAACGAUGGGGGAAGGACUGAAAAAUAGGCGAGCUUGACAGUAAAAAAUUGUCAAUAUUUUUCCAUUCAUUGCCGCUUGAUACUCAUUCUAGAUAUUACGUAGCAUGAAGAUUGUUCGUGGCAGAUAUUGCGCGUAUUUUCUGAACUGUCGAUCACCAGAAUCUGAAUAUUAUCGGUACGGGAACACGCGUUACUAUCACACCAAGAUGAUAAAGAUCUGCCUUUGGGAUAAAUGAUGUUGGCUUACUCCCAUCCGUGGCUCCGAUGGCUACACCUACCGAUUCAUGUGCAAGCUGAUGCAAAAGACCUGCGAACUUCGUGUUGUUUUGAUAUUGCCGAGGAACUGCUAAGACAUCUAAUUGUGUAAAGAUUCUUACAUACUAUGUUUGUGGAUCGAACAACAAACUCUACCGGAACGAGUGCCACAUGAGAAAAGAGAAUUGUGGUUAGCGCAUGUUCGUAGUGCCGAUGCAGUAUUGUCCGGCCACAUUCUUCGAGGUAUGCUCAAGAAUGGUUGA